rnacentral:lncRNA from 1 species
UGCUGGCGUGGAACAACAGGCUUCGGUUUAGGUUUCAAUGCGUGUGUAUCGGUUCCUGUGUCAAUACAUAAUUAUUUUAUUCUAUAAAUACAUUAUUUUUUAUAUAAUAACUAAUAUGAAUAAUUUGCUGGUGUCCUGGGGGUUGGACUCCUUGAAACAAAUCUUUGCAGAUAAACAUGACGUGUGGCAUAUCAUACCUACCAUACAGGGAGGUAUGACGGUAAUUUAUAUUGACAUAUAAAUUGAGACAGGAAUGCGAAUAUAAUAAAGUGGCUGAAAUAAUAGUGGGUUGGUCCGUCCUAUCUGAUCCCAGAGCUAAUUCUUUGAUUGAAUCCGACUUUUCAAUUUUAUAUCCAGGCACCGAACUGUCAAUAUUAACAUAUUGGGAUAUAUUUUUUGAAAAUGUAUUAACACUAAAAAAGAAGGAAAUUGAUGAGACGAGAGAUCCAAUUCUGCAGGACUUAAUCGAAAAACUAAAAUUAAAAGAGCAACUGACUGCUGAUUCAAAAGUAGCGUUGCAAAUCGCAUCCUUGCCGCGUAUCUUUCCACAAAGAUCUCGAGCGGUCCAAACCAAAAGGUCGCUUGAGAUUGGGAAAAGAACACUGGAAGUAUACCACGAAUGAAUCUGUGGAAGGAAUAAUUAUCCAUGCUACAAGAUAUAGAAACUAAAAUACAAAGUCAAAUUGAGAAAGCUGCUAGAAGAAAAGUACAUAGGGAAGCGCAACCGUAUUUAAUAGUCGAAGGCCCACAAUUGACCGACAUCAGGAAUACGUAUGUUGUAAUUGAUAAAAUUCAUUAAUCUGUUUGGAAUUUUUGAGAAUUUGAUGGAAUUGUUGAUUUGAUUGAGGAAUAAUACAUUCUAAAUUUUAUAAUAAAUAUUUAAUUAAUAA